UCCUAGGGAUGAGCAAAGAAAGUGGUUUCUUGAGAUAGAAUCUACUCAUGGUAAAGAUGCUUUGAU
rnacentral:pre_miRNA from 3 species